UACGGGGGGUGCGAGCGUUGUCCGGGAUCACUGGGCGUAAAGGGCGCGUAGGUGGUUUGAUAAGGGUGUGGUGAAAGUCCGGGGCUCAACCCCGGAUCUGCCGUGCCGACUGUCAAACUCGAGGGCUGUAGAGGCAGACGGAAUUCCGGGUGUAGCGGUGGAAUGCGUAGAGAUCCGGAAGAACACCGGUGGCGAAGGCGGCCUGCUGGGCUAUGGCUGACACUGAGGCGCGACAGCGUGGGGAGCAAACAGG
rnacentral:rRNA from 1 species